AUUGAACGCUGGCGGCAGGCCUAACACAUGCAAGUCGAGCGGAUGAAGCGAGCUUGCUUCUGGAUUUAGCGGCGGACGGGUGUGUAAUGCCCAGGAAUCUGCCUGGCAGUGGGGGAUAACGUCCGGAAACGGGCGCUAAUACUGCAUACGUCGUGAGGGAGAAAGAGGGGGAUCUUCGGACAUCUCGCUAUCAUAUGAGCCUAGGUGGGAUUAGCUAGUUGGUGGGGUAAAGGCCUACCGAGGCGACGAUCCGUAACUGGUCUGAGAGGAUGAUCAGUCACACGGGAACUGAGACACGGUCCAGACUCCUACGGGAGGCAGCAGUGGGGAAUAUUGGACAAUGGGCGAGAGCCUGAUCCAGCCAUGCCGCGUGUGUGAAGAAGGUCUUCGGAUUGUAAAGCACUUUAAGUUGGGGGGAAGGGCAGUAAGUUAAUACCUUGCUGUUUUGACGUUACCAACAGAAUAAGCACCGGCUAACUUCGUG
rnacentral:rRNA from 1 species